UGGGGAAUAUUGCACAAUGGGCGCAAGCCUGAUGCAGCCAUGCCGCGUGUGUGAAGAAGGCCUUCGGGUUGUAAAGCACUUUCAGCGAGGAGGAAGGUGGUGAGCUUAAUACGCUCAUCAAUUGACGUUACUCGCAGAAGAAGCACCGGCUAACUCCGUGCCAGCAGCCGCGGUAAUACGGAGGGUGCAAGCGUUAAUCGGAAUUACUGGGCGUAAAGCGCACGCAGGCGGUUUGUUAAGUCAGAUGUGAAAUCCCCGGGCUCAACCUGGGAACUGCAUUUGAAACUGGCAAGCUAGAGUCUCGUAGAGGGGGGUAGAAUUCCAGGUGUAGCGGUGAAAUGCGUAGAGAUCUGGAGGAAUACCGGUGGCGAAGGCGGCCCCCUGGACGAAGACUGACGCUCAGGUGCGAAAGCGU
rnacentral:rRNA from 1 species